rnacentral:rRNA from 1 species
UACGUAGGGGGGCAAGCGUUGUCCGGAUUUAUUGGGCGUAAAGAGCGUGUAGGCGGUCGUGACAAGUCACUUGUGAAAUCUCCGGGCUUAACUCGGAACGGUCAAGUGAUACUGUCGGACUAGAGUACAGAAGGGGCAACUGGAAUUCUCGGUGUAGCGGUGAAAUGCGUAGAUAUCGAGAGGAACACCUGCGGCGAAGGCGGGUUGCUGGGCUGAUCCUGACGCUGAGACGCGAAGGCGUGGGGAGCGAACGGG